rnacentral:rRNA from 1 species
AUACUGAGGGUGCGAGCGUUAAUCGGAAUUACUGGGCGUAAAGCGCGCGUAGGCGGUAAGUUAAGUUGGAUGUGAAAUCCCUGGGCUCAACCCAGGAACUGCAUUCAAAACUGGCUCACUAGAGUAUGGUAGAGGCAAGUGGAAUUCCAGGUGUAGCGGUGAAAUGCGUAGAUAUCUGGAGGAACAUCAGUGGCGAAGGCGACUUGCUGGGCCAAUACUGACGCUGAGGUGCGAAAGCGUGGGUAGCAAACGGGAUUAGAAACCCCUGUAGUCC